AGAGUUUGAUCCUGGCUCAGGAUGAACGCUGGCGGCGUGCUUAACACAUGCAAGUCGAACGAGAACCAUUGGAUCGAGGAUUCGUCCAAGUGAAGGUGGGGAAAGUGGCGGACGGGUGAGUAACGCGUGAGCAAUCUGCCUUGGAGUGGGGAAUAACGGCUGGAAACAGCCGCUAAUACCGCAUGAUACAGCUGGGAGGCAUCUCCCUGGCUGUCAAAGAUUUAUCGCUCUGAGAUGAGCUCGCGUCUGAUUAGCUAGUUGGCGGGGUAACGGCCCACCAAGGCGACGAUCAGUAGCCGGACUGAGAGGUUGGCCGGCCACAUUGGGACUGAGACACGGCCCAGACUCCUACGGGAGGCAGCAGUGGGGAAUAUUGGGCAAUGGGCGCAAGCCUGACCCAGCAACGCCGCGUGAAGGAAGAAGGCUUUCGGGUUGUAAACUUCUUUUGUCAGGGACGAAGCAAGUGACGGUACCUGACACGGCUACUACGGUCAGCAGCGCGUAUACGUAGGUGCCAGCGUAUCCGGAAUUACCUGGGUUAAGGCGUGUUAGCCGGACUGCAGUCAGAUGUGAAUCACGGGCUCAACUUGUGCUGCAUUGGAACUGUAGUUCUGAGUACUGAGAGCAGACGGAAUUCUAGGUAGCGGUGAAUGCGUAGAUAUAGGAGGACACAGUGCGAGGCGUCUGCUGACAGCAACUGACGCUGAGGCGGGAAGCGUGGGGGAGCCAACAGGAUUAGAUACCUGGUAGUUCACGCCUGGUAAAACGAUGGAUACUAGGUGUGGGGGGACUGACCCCCUCGUGGCCGCCAGUUAACACCAAUAAAGUAUCCCACCUGGGAGUACGAUCGCAAGGUUGAAACUCAAAGGAAUUGACGGGGCCCGCACAAGCGGUGGAGUAUGUGGUUUAAUUCGAAGCAACGCGAAGAACCUUACCAGGGCUUGACAUCCCGAGGACCGGACUAGAGAUAGUCUUUUCUCUUCGGAGACCUCGGUGACAGGUGGUGCAUGGUUGUCGUCAGCUCGUGUCGUAAGAUGUUGGGUUAAGUCCCGCAACGAGCGCAACCCUUAUUGUUAGUUGCUACGCAAGAGCACUCUAGCGAGACUGCCGUUGACAAAACGGAGGAAGGUGGGGACGACGUCAAAUCAUCAUGCCCCUUAUGUCCUGGGCCACACACGUACUACAAUGGUGGUCAACAGAGGGAAGCAAUACCGCGAGGUGGAGCAAAUCCCUAAAAGCCAUCCCAGUUCGGAUCGCAGGCUGCAACCCGCCUGCGUGAAGUUGGAAUCGCUAGUAAUCGCGGAUCAGCAUGCCGCGGUGAAUACGUUCCCGGGCCUUGUACACACCGCCCGUCACACCAUGAGAGUCGGGAACACCCGAAGUCCGUAGCCUAACCGCAAGGGGGGGCGCGGCCGAAGGUGGGUUCGAUAAUUGGGGUGAAGUCGUAACAAGGUAGCCGU
rnacentral:rRNA from 2 species